rnacentral:rRNA from 1 species
AUUUCAUGGAGAGUUUGAUCCUGGCUCAGGACGAACGCUGGCGGCGUGCCUAAUACAUGCAAGUCGAGCGGAUCUUGUCCUUCGGGACAAGGUUAGCGGCGGACGGGUGAGUAACACGUGGGUAACCUGCCCAUAAGACUGGGAUAACAUUCGGAAACGAAUGCUAAUACCGGAUACGCGAAUUGGUCGCAUGGCCGAAUCGGGAAAGGCGGAGCAAUC